UCGUGUCCAAACACUCCGGACUGUGACAGGGUUUAAGUUCCUAUCUCCAAAACCCCCCACAAAAUUAGCAGAGAUCCAAAAUGGCCUCUUUCGCCGCCGCAAGAUCCCUUUACCGGUCAUCUUCCUCCGCUCGCAACGUAGCAUCCCGCUUCGCUGCCAAACCCAAAUCUUCACAAGCUUCUCCUUUUCGCGCAGCCUCCAACAAGCCUCUCUCUCAAUCCAUUUUAAGGCGACCUGUGGAAAUGAGCUUUGGAUUGGAAUCGAUGAUGCCAUACCACACUGCCACGGCUUCGGCAUUAAUGACUUCAAUGCUGUCUAUCUCUCCCCGCUGCUAUGGUUGGCUUCCGGAAGCUUGCAAUGAUGAUGUGUGAUGAAUGUUCAGAGGAUUCAAGCAAGCUUUUGUACAAAAGUCUGCCCUUAGAAGUUUUGGUUGAGCUGCUGAGGAGAUGACUUCAUAUUUCUUGAGCUUUUGAACCUAGAUGAAUUACUAAUUAGGCUGUAAUCUCUAUUGGCAAUUCUGGCAUGGCGAGGAGCUUUCUUGAGCUUUCCUUAUUUAGGUUGGUUUAUAUUAAUGUUGAAGGGACACAAUUUGUUUAGCAACGGUGGCUACUAAGAAUUAUAUGUUCCUAUUCUACACUCUUGUUUUGCAUAGUUGUAGUUAAUUGUACACAUUUUAUUUCUGGAUUGUAAAUGGAUGAAAUUUUAUUUCUAGUGAUAUGGGAUUGGUUUUCCAAGUAUA